UUUUUUUUUUUUUUUUUUUUUUGUUAUUUUGUUACCACAGCUACAUACCCUGAAAAAUACACUACAGGAGAGUAAUAAAAAUUGAACAUUUAUUCUGAACAAAGAUGCUUGAAUAACCUUCCUUAAGCACCAUCCUCAAUAGUAAUUUUGAUUUAUCUGAUUGAAUUUCAGUAAAGUUUAAUAGCCAGUGUUCAUAAUGAUGACCAUUAGUCAUCAAAGAAAAGGUUAAUGCUCCAUAUUCCCUUUAUAAGAAGAAGGACAGUUAUUUGAUAUGUUUUAGAGAAUUUAAUUUAAAAUCAAUCAAAUGCAAAGGGUUUUGGGGUUUAUCAGAGCAGUACUAAAUCUCUCUGGAAAAUUUAACUAACCAUAACAGUGAAAUUUUUUUGAUAGUUCUUAACAAUUAAAAUUUCAUUAGAUCAUGCUUUGAGGGACAUCUUUUAAAAAUUACUCCAUAAAGGUUAGUAAUAAUUGGUGUAAUUGGAAAUUCCAAAGUCUUCUGGGGUCAAGAAGUAAUAUAAAUGUGUGAAUCAGAGGGGUGCUAGACAUAAGGAGUAGCGCGAGUUGGGAUAUCGUUUUCUGGAGAAUAUAUGCCCAGUAUAAAGUAUUAACAUUCAAAACAUUUUAAAUGCUGUUCUGAGGCUAUGAUGAAGUAACUGGAAUGAGAUCUACCCUCCAGCCAUAAACAACUAGAAAACUAGAUAAAGUUUAUAAGUAGACAAAGUUUCAUAUAUUGGAAAACAGGCAGCACAGGAUCGUGGUCUAUGAAAGAGAGAAAACACUAUCUUUCCGGCUUUCUUCUUAGAAGCCCUUUCCAGACAGUGCUCCAGGGAGGGGCAUCUGACACACAGCAUGGCAAGUAAGGGAACAGAGAUUGGAGCUCAGGAAGCCUAUGUUGGCUAGCAUUUUGAAAGCAGAAUGAUUAUAAGGGGAAAACUGCACAAAGAUCUCCAGAAAUCUUUAGAGUACCUUUGCAUAAAGCAUACAUCUUACAUGGCCAGGAAAAUGACAACUUGGGAAAGGUAAUAACCAAACAGUUCCCAGAACUCACAGAGGGCUAAGCCACAUUUGAGUCCUAGCCAGUCAGAGUGGAGGAGCCGGAUUGAACACACUGGGGCAUUCGGUGGAAACCCUGGAGAGAUUACGCUUUUGUAGGGGAGCUAAACUAACACUAGAGCAAAGUAUACCGUACAUUUGCCUUAACAGACUUAAAAUAUUCAAAAGGAACAAGUGGCUUGUCAGAACAAAGUCCAACACUCUAAAAAUAUACAAGAUAAAAUCCAACCUCCCCAAAUAAUGUCAAGCAUUUAAUUAAAAAACUAGAUCUGUCAUAAAACUGGACAGUGUAACACAUUAUCAGAAGAAAAAUUAGUUAAUGGAAACAGAGAGACAAAAUAAUAAGCUUAGUAAGCAAGGACUUAAAAAAAUCUUUUUAAAAUAUGCUAGAAGGGCCAGGCAUAGUGGCUCACGCCUGUAAUACCAGCAACUUUGGGAGUCAGAGGCAGGCAGAUCACCUGAGAUCAGGAGUUCGAGAUCUGUCUGGCCAACAUGGCAAAACCUGUUUCUACUAAAAAUACAAAAAAUUAGUCGUGUGUGGUGACGCAUGCCUGUAGUCCCAGCAACUGGGGAGGCUGAGGCAGGAGAAUCACUUGAACCCGGGAGGCAGAGGUUGCAGUGAGCCAAGAUUGCUCCAUUGCACUCCAGCCUGGGUGACAUGAGUGAAACUCUGUCUCAAAAAAAGAAAAAAAAGAAAAGAAAAGAAAUAUAUAUAUAUGCUAGAAGAAUUAAAAGGAGAUUAACAUUAUGA
rnacentral:lncRNA from 1 species